rnacentral:rRNA from 1 species
UACGUAGGGGCCUAGCGUUGUCCGGAUUUAUUGGGCGUAAAGAGCUCGUAGGCGGUUCGGUAAGUCAGGUGUGAAAUCUCCACGCUCAACGUGGAGGCGCCACCUGAAACUGCCGUGACUCGAGUCCGGUAGGGGAGUGUGGAAUUCCCGGUGUAGCGGUGAAAUGCGCAGAUAUCUGGAGGAAUACCGGUGGCGAAGGCGGCAUCCUGGACCGGCAUUGACGCUGAGGAGCGAAAGCUAGGGGAGCAAACGGG